rnacentral:misc_RNA from 1 species
ACAAACUUGGUCAUUUAGAGGAAGUAAAAGUCGUAACAAGGUUUCCGUAGGUGAACCUGCGGAAGGAUCAUUAACGAAUUUCUAGGAGUUGUGCUGGUUCUUACAAGUGCACGCUCCUUAAUUCUAAUUCACACCCACUGUGCACUUUAAGAGACGUAUUUCCCCCGUUUACGUGCCUUUAUUGGCUUGGGAUUUCGUCUGUUUUACACACUCUUAUUUGUAUUAGAAUGUAAUCAGCGGAAACGCUAAAACAUAAUAUAACUUUCAACAACGGAUCUCUUGGUUCUCGCAUCGAUGAAGAACGCAGC